rnacentral:rRNA from 1 species
UACGGGGGGGGGCAAGCGUUUGUUCGGAAUCAUUGGGCGUAAAGAGCGUGUAGGCGGCUUGUUAAGUCUUGCGUGAAAACUCAGGGCUCAACUCUGAGACGCCACUCGAUACUGCUCUGACUCGAGUCCGGUAGGGGAGCGUGGAAUUCCCGGUGUAGCGGUGAAAUGCGCAGAUAUCGGGAGGAACACCAGUGGCGAAGGCGGCGCUCUGGGCCGGAACUGACGCUGAGGAGCGAAAGCGUGGGUAGCAAACAGG